CGUGGUAAACAGGUCCGGCGUCUCCCCAGCAUCCGGUACGUCCUCGGGCACCGCUGGUUCUUCCUCGCCCUCGGGCAGGUAGUCCAUCACGCCAGCCACCAUCGCCAGCUCGCCGGCCGAAACCUCCACAUCGUUCCGUCAUCAUCUGGCCAGCACUGUUCGUCAUAGCCUCGCUGAAUGCCGGGUUAAUGUGGCCUCCUUCCGUGUAGAUGCCCUCCGUAAAAGCCGUCACGCCCAGCUGACCGACCGGGGUUGCCGUGAACCCAUCGACAGCGCCGCGUGCCAUCGAUGAUUCUCCACCGGCCACUGCACCGACGGUUCCAGCACCAUUUCCCAGCGCGUAUUGGCUGAGAGACGGGGCCAGCGAACCUAAGCUUGCGAGCGAUUCCGGCCGUACGUUGUCAACCGCAGCAUCGGCCAGUCCCGAUCUUGGACGGGAAUAGGAGCUACUGACUGGCACACGCGACAUCGUUUAUCCCCUUCUAGACCGAACCAGCACCGACACCGAAAACCCACCGUUCACCGUGGUGGCGCAACGCAAACUACAAAAUGAAAAGGUUCUCCCAUUCCGCGAGAUCAACCAUUUUCAAACGAAAUUAGUACCGGUUUGUCCAUAAAGUUAACUUAUCGUGCGUAAAAGAUAACUAACGAAGGGAAUAAAUGAUACCUGGCUACUACUAUUAUUUUCUGGCCACGCGGCUACUAUGUGGCGGGGUGUAGGUGCUAAUCUGCCAAAUUUCAUGAUAAAGGUAAUCUACGUCGGCAUCGAUCCGGUUCAUGGAACCAGAUUAUUUAAACAUGUUCUUCAGAUUCUUGCCCGGUGCUCGGUGUUCCCUGUAAACAGACUUAAAAAAAAUACGUUACACGCUUUUAAUCUCUCCCUUUGUCUCUGUACGCAAACAAGCCUUUACUUACGCAAUUUGUCAUCAUGUUCGAUUGCACGGAUUAAAUACGAACAGUUAAGAGCUGUCAGCUAACACUGAUUGCGUACACGUGUUUGUUAUACAUAGUUUUCUUCAUAUACUUUAAUAGUUUUUGUUCACCGACCUUCGCAAAAUCACAUUCGUACAGCUUCAUUGACCGUUUAACAAUUAAAUCUCUUCCUUUUCCCGUGCGUGUCGUCCCUCCGAGUCUAAUAAAUUAGCAUGAAACUAAAUCACUACAUGAUGAGAAAGAGCCAGCGAAAAGAAGCGAGAGAGAGAGAGAGAAAGGCGAUUUUCUUAAAUACUAAACACGAAAACCGUUCACAUGUUUCGGUUAAAGAAAAGCAGUGGGUGAAAGGGUGUUUUUUUUUGUCUACCGAGGAAACGUUUGCUUUUAUACACAAUUUUAAGCCACGACAGUUGUUAGAAGCAGUUGUCACCAUCACGGAUUAUGAGUUUUAUCUACUUACACAAUCGACAAUGCCCUUCUUCACCAUGCUGUGACACCAUCGAUUGUCAGGAAGAUACACAACAAAAAGCGUCUAUCAAGUGUACGCCGGUGUCGGCAUCAAUUUUGUAACAGUGUGGGGAAAGGGAAAGGGGUACACGCGGCUGGCUAAUUGCUGCUGUCCGCAAUUCUGAGAAUUUGAUCGCCCACCAAACGCAUAUCUUAUCGGUGCGAAUGCUUAUCAACUAAUUCUUACACCACACUGACCUUCUUCGCCGUGGGAGCGGGGAGACUGGACUGGACUGGAGCCGUGGAAGCAUUAUCGUACAGUGCCGGCUCUCUGCCGUCAACGUUCUCUCAUUCGUUUGAUUCCCCGUGGGACAGCAGAUUCGAUGAUCUCUCGCUCUCGCCCUUCUCUGCCUCUGUUUAAUUACCACUAUUUUCCUAAGACUAUUUUUCCACUAUUAGUUCGACAUUUUUUCUUCCGAUUGUUCACCCUUUCGGUUAAAGAAGUGGUUAGAAACCGUUGCAAAUUAUCUAUUCCGAACGCCGAGUAAGACUGUGAAGCACAGAAACAGAAACGGAGCAUUACUUGUGUUUUAUAGUAAUUUCUAAUACUUUCUACUGCCAUACGUCUGGAAACGUUUUUCCUCUCCUAUUUUUUUAAUCUUUCUCUCCCAUCAUGAAAUAAGAGCAUUGUGUUUCUUCUCCGUUACACACGACACGUUUGCUUUCAGUUUAGUAUUUGUUGUUCUGCUUGUUUUUUCAUUAGUCCACUGCCAGUGUGCACCAUCAUGUGGAGAGGAAAUUGAAUGUAAAACUAACAAACUAUAACCACGCACCGUUGCUGUGCCCAUUUUCGAGCCUAGAAUGAGCAUUUUUGUAAGCCAAACAAUACAUCGCACAGAAGAAACGGAGAACGAGAAGCAGAGCGCAAACAAAACUGAAGUAACAACACAUUAAGCACAUGCGGUGGUAUUCUUUUUUAUGUUAGAUGUGGGUGUGUGAGAGCGGUGCACAUGAAAUCACUGUUUUAACCCUAAACGCCUGAGGACGCAUCUUUAUCUUUUUUAUCCUGCCUUGGCCUUCGUUUUUGCCCUGUUUUGUUUUGUCUAGUUGUGACAAUUCCUUUCAUCGUGAAGAUUGAGAUCUAUAUGCAACGUUUUAAGGGGGUGGGGUGGUUCUAUAUGUACAAAGUGGAAGGUUGUAAUCGUGCCUACUACAUGCUAAAUGUAUGGUAUUUGAUUAGAUCGGACAAUAGUGAAGUCAGCUAGAGCUGGCCCUUUUUU